GUUACAGGCAUGCAACCACAGCACCUGGUGUCACCCUGCUAUUUUUAUGACCUCUUCCUCCUCUCCAAACUUCAUGCAAAUCAAUUCAUGCAAAUUCCUAGUUGGCCUAAUACACUGGUCUUUUAAGUCUAAAUACCAGAAAUAGGGAUAUAGCUUAGACUAAAACUAGAAACCUACCUAGAGUCAGUGGUGUGCCAAGGAUUGGGUGGUGGGAGUAGUCUGCUCUGAAUGAAUGCAUUAAGGAGGUAAGCUAAGUGUAGAGAAUUUGAAAGUAGUAAUAAAACUGACUGAAGAUAGAUCUACUUUUUACUAUCACCAUGCACCAGCAAUUUUAAACUUAGACAAUUGUGCAGUUACACUAUGAGUUUUAACAAUAUAUACGUUUCCAAUUAGCACAUUUUUAAUUACUUAAACAACAUAUUCUACAUGGAAGUCUAUUCAGAGUCAGCCUGUGACACAAUCAUACUCAGCUGCACAUUUGUUUUGAGUAAGUUCAUAAUGGUUCAGAAUUGCUUGAGCUCACUGCAGAUGCUGUUCUUGUCUCUAACCCCAGGGUCUCACUCUGUUGCAGGUGCUGGAGUGCAAGUGGCAUGAUUUUGGCUAACUGCAACCUUGACCUCCCAGGCUCAAGGAAUUCUCCCACUUCACCCUCCGGAGUAACUGGGACUACAGCUGGCUAAUUUUUGUAUUUUUUGUAGAGGCAGGGUUCCCAAGGAUGGUCUCCAACUUCCGGGCUCACGGGAUCCGCCUGCCUCAGCCUUCCAAGCGUUUUGCCCUGUCUCCCAGGCUGGAGUGCGGUGGCAUGAUCUUGGCUCACUGCAAGCUCUGUCCCCCUGGCUCAAGCGAUUCUCCUCCCUCAGCCUCAUAAAUAGCUGGGACUACAGGCAUGCACAACCACGCUUGGCUAAUUUUUGUAUUUUUGGUAGUGACGGGGUUUCACCAUCGUCUUGAACUCCGGCCUCAAGUGAUCCUCCCGCCUCGGCCUCCCAGGGUGCUGAGAUUACAGGCAUGCGUCACCACUCAUGGCCUAGGCAACCUCAUUCCUAAUUGAGAAUAAUUAUUAUAACAAUGACAUGUCUCCCUCUGUAGCAGAUGUCUCUGGCACUCAUGUUACAUAUUCACAGGCCAUCUCUUGAUUUCAGCCACAUCUGUGUUAGUCCAUUCCAGUUCACCUCACAUUGCCAUUUCCUCCUCCAGUGAGCCUGCAUUCUGCCUUAGGGCCCUCUCCAGACAUCAUGGAAGCAUGCUCAGCCCAUUCGGCAAGCACAGUCCAGAGUGAGAGGAAGAGAGGGGAGGGAGAAAAGUUAUAGAUCUGAGGUGACAGACGGUAUGAAUAGUUCUCUAUGAGAGUGGUAGAGUAAUAUAGUACAAUUUCUGAAAAGCAUUAAUGGCCCACUUGAGACUAGUGGUGAUAAAUUUAAAGUGAGAGUGGCCAUAUUGUUAUGUUCCUCUCCAGUCACAUUUAGCUAUGUGAGAAUAAUGGUAGAGAGUGUAAUUUAACUAGUCUUGCCAAAGUGAGAGGAAUGCAAGGCAGGUUGUGUGGCCCUCCACACAAUUAUAAUCAUUAACCAUAGAGUUUAAAGUAGGUAAGAAUGGUGUGAGGUCAUAAGUGGAAUGAAGGACAAGUAAAAGGUCAUAGGAGCAAUAGGGUCUAAGUCUCAGGUGACUUUGAGAAUUAUUAAAGUCAGGAGCUUAAAGGGAGUGAGUGGAAAGACAGGAGAUGAUGGUUAGAG
rnacentral:lncRNA from 1 species